ensembl:lncRNA
UGGUUAUCACAGGAGUCAGUUGGUUAUCACAGGGGUCAGUUGGUUAUCCCAGGGGUCAGUUGGUUAUCACAAUUGUCAGUUGGUUAUCCCAGGGGUCAACUGGUUAUCUCAGGGGUCAGUUGGUUAUCACAAGAGUCUCUUGGUUAUCCCAGGAGUCAGUUGGUUAUCACAAGAGUCAGUUGGUUAUCACAGAGGUCAGUUGGUUAUCACAAGAGUCAGUUGGUUAUCCCAGGAGUCAGUUGGUUAUCACAGGAGUCAGUUGGUUAUCCCAGGAGUCAGAGAAAACGUGUCUUUUUUUCCCCUUUGUAUCGUAGAGGCUCCUGUAUGUUCUCAGGUUUGUGCAUGUGGACUUUUUCUCCAAUUCAAAUCGAGAGAGUAAGAAGGUCAUCAUGAAAUAUUUCAUUUCUGUACCACAGCAUUAUAGUGUGUGUUUGCUGCUACUACACCGAAAUUGAUUACUGUUCUGUAACAGCCCACCUCUAAUCCCUUUUAUCCCUCUUUUAUUC